GGGAAUGGCUUGACCUAGUACCGUGGCGAACGGGUGAGUAACGCGUGGGUAAUCUACCCAUUGGUGGGGGAUAACCAUUCGAAAGGAUGGCUAAUACCGCAUAAGACCCUUCGGGGUGAAAGGGGGCGAAAGCUCCUGCCGAUGGAUGAGCCUGCGUCCCAUUAGCUAGUUGGCGGGGUAAAAGCCCACCAAGGCUUAGAUGGGUAGCUGGUCUGAGAGGAUGAUCAGCCACACUGGGACUGAGACACGGCCCAGACUCCUACGGGAGGCAGCAGUGGGGAAUAUUGCGCAAUGGGGGGAACCCUGACGCAGCAACGCCGCGUGGGUGAAGAAGGCCUUCGGGUUGUAAAGCCCUGUCAGUUGGAACGAACAGCGUUAUGGUAAAUAGCCAUAGCGUUUGACGGUACCUUCAAAGGAAGCACCGGCUAACUCCGUGCCAGCAGCCGCGGUAAUACGGAGGGUGCGAGCGUUGCUCGGAAUUACUGGGCGUAAAGCGUGCGCAGGCGGCACAGCAAGUCAGGCGUGAAAGUCCGGGGCUCAACCCCGGAAGGUCGCUUGAAACUGCUGAGCUUGAGUACGGGAGAGGGGGUGUGUGGAAUUCCCAGUGUAGGAGUGAAAUC
rnacentral:rRNA from 1 species